AUACGGAGGAUGCGAGCGUUAUCCGGAUUUAUUGGGUUUAAAGGGAGCGUAGGCGGGAGCUUAAGUCAGCGGUUAAAUGGUGCGGCUCAACCGUGCCCUGCCGUUGAAACUGGGUUUCUUGAGAGUGCAAGAGGCGGAUGGAAUUCAUGGUGUAGCGGUGAAAUGCUUAGAUAUCAUGAAGAACUCCGAUUGCGAAGGCAGUCCGCUGGGGCACGUCUGACGCUGAUGCUCGAAGGUGCGGGAAUCAAACAGGAUUAGAUACCCUGGUAGUCCGCACGGUAAACGAUGAUUACCCGCUGUCGGCGGCAGACAGUCGGCGGCCAAGCGAGAGCGAUAAGUAAUCCACCUGGGGAGUACGCCGGCAACGGUGAAACUCAAAGGAAUUGACGGGG
rnacentral:rRNA from 1 species